GGGGGGGGGGGGGGGGGGGCGGGGGGGGGGCGGGGGGGGGGGGGGGGCGCGGCGGGGGUGGGGUGCGCGGGGGGGGAGCGGGUGGGUAGCACGGGAGUAACCGGCCCGUGACUUUGGGAUAACUGCAGGACACUGGGGCUAAUACCGGAUAGGCGCUCCUGCUGCGCGGUGGGGGUUGGAAAGUUUCGGCGGUGGGGGAUGGACUCGCGGCUUACCAGCUUGUUGGCGGGGGAGUGGCUUACCCAGGCUUUGACGGGUAGCCGGCCUGCGAGGGUGACCGGCCACAUUGGGACUGAGAUACGGCCCAGACUCCGACGGGAGGCAGCAGUGGGGAAUAUUGCACAAUGGGCGGAAGCCUGAUGCAGCAACGCCGCGUGCGGGAUGACGGCCUACGGGUUGUAAACCGCUUUCGCCUGUGACGAAGCGUGAGUGACGGUAAUGGGUAAAGAAGCACCGGCUAACUACGUG
rnacentral:rRNA from 1 species